GAUGAACGCUAGCGGCAGGCCUAACACAUGCAAGUCGAGGGGCAGCACGGGUAGCAAUACUGGGUGGCGACCGGCGCACGGGUGAGUAACGCGUAUGCAACCUGCCCCCGUCUGGGGAAUAGCCCGUCGAAAGGCGGAUUAAUGCCCCAUGGUUCCGGAGACCGGCAUCGGUUUUCGGAUAAAGGUUACGGACGGGGAUGGGCAUGCGUGCCAUUAGCUAGUUGGGGGGGUAACGGCCCACCAAGGCGACGAUGGCUAGGGGAGCUGAGAGGCUGAACCCCCCACACUGGUACUGAGACACGGACCAGACUCCUACGGGAGGCAGCAGUGAGGAAUAUUGGUCAAUGGGCGGAAGCCUGAACCAGCCAUGCCGCGUGCAGGAAGACGGCCCUACGGGUUGUAAACUGCUUUUCUGCGGGAAGAACGGCCCCUACGUGUAGGGGUGUGACGGUACCGCAGGAAUAAGGAUCGGCUAACUCCGUG
rnacentral:rRNA from 1 species